rnacentral:tRNA from 1 species
GGGCGAAUGGUUUAGUGGUAUAAUACUCCCUUAGCAUGUUGUGUCAUCUGGGAGUGGUCCAGGGUUCGAUUCCCUGUUCGUCCA